GCAUUCAGAACACCUAAGUUUAUGGGGGACAUCUGAAUCAAACCACCACACCCAUGUACACCUUAGCCUAGACCACUGUGCCUGGUCUGUAUUUUGAAUGGGGAGAAUAGG
rnacentral:snoRNA from 1 species